rnacentral:rRNA from 1 species
AAAUUGAAGAGUUUGAUCAUGGCUCAGAUUGAGCGCUGGCGGCAGGCCUAACACAUGCAAGUCGAACGGUAACAGGAAGCAGCUUGCUGCUUCGCUGACGAGUGGCGGACGGGUGAGUAAUGUCUGGGAAACUGCCUGAUGGAGGGGGAUAACUACUGGAAACGGUGGCUAAUACCGCAUAACGUCGCAAGACCAAAGAGGGGGACCUUCGGGCCUCUUGCCAUCAGAUGUGCCCAGAUGGGAUUAGCUAGUUGGUGAGGU